rnacentral:tRNA from 1 species
GUUUUCAGUAGCUUAACACAAAGCACGGCCCUGAAGUUGCCGUAAUGGAAGCCCUCUUCCCUAAAACA